GAUGAACGCUGGCGGCGUGCUUAACACAUGCAAGUCGAACGAUGAUCCCCAGCUUGCUGGGGGGAUUAGUGGCGAACGGGUGAGUAACACGUGAGUAACCUGCCCUUAACUCUGGGAUAAGCCUGGGAAACUGGGUCUAAUACCGGAUAUGACCUUCCAUCGCAUGGUGGUUGGUGGAAAGCUUUUUGUGGUUUUGGAUG
rnacentral:rRNA from 1 species